rnacentral:rRNA from 1 species
GACGAACGCUGGCGGCGUGCCUAAUACAUGCAAGUAGAACGCACAGUUUAUACCGUAGCUUGCUACACCAUAAACUGUGAGUUGCGAACGGGUGAGUAACGCGUAGGUAACCUGCCUGGUAGCGGGGGAAAACUAUGGAAAACAAUAGCUAUAACCGCAUAAUUUUAUUUUUGGCUUGUUAAUUGUUGGAAAGUUGCAAUGGCAUCCCUACCAAUUGGACUUCCGUUGUAUUAGCUGGUAGGGGAGGUAACGGCUCACCUAGGCGACGAUACAUAGCCGACCUGAGAGGGUGAUCGGCCACACUGGGACUGAGACACGGCCCAGACUCCUACGGGAGGCAGCAGUAGGGAAUCUUCGGCAAUGGACGAAAGUCUGACCGAGCAACGCCGCGUGAGUGAAGAAGGUUUUCGGAUCGUAAAGCUCUGUUGUAAGAGAAGAACGGGUGUGAGAGUGGAAAGUUCACACUGUGACGGUAUCUUACCAGAAAGGGACGGCUAACUACGUG